CCGGUCCUGGGUACCGAGCACCGGCUCACGGCGCACCGGGCUCGGCCCGAGGCCUCUGCUUAGCUCUGCACGGGGCCUGCGGCGAGCGGGGCCGCCCGAGCUGUGUCUCGCUGUGGAGAGGCACCGGGGAAGGAGGGUGCACCCCCAGCCCCGCAGACCCCUCCAGACCCCGGCGGGCCCGGUGCUCCCUGCAUGCGGGUGGAGGAGAGCUGGGGGCUGCAGAACAGAGGCCACGGGUCGGGGGUCGGGUGUGAGACCUCUGGCCCUGCUGCACUGCGAAUCGUCCCUGCUGCUCCGAGUGGGGGAAUAGGGACGGAUUUGAGGUGCGGGUCUCCCCAACGGACCGCCCGCUGUGGAGGGGACACGCUGUGCCCCCGCACACGGCACAGACGAAGCGGUGGCUGCAGGGCCCGGGCCGCUCCUCCGGGACUGCCCCGAGGUGAGAGCGGCUGCGGCGGGGAUGCUGUGCCGGUGGCGCACAGCACAGGGCCGGGGCCCCCACAGGCUCUGACCGCGGCCUUCUCGGGGUUCCCACCGCCGGGAGAAACCCAGAGAGCAUAGACGGUCACCGAGGGCUGUCGCGACUCAAUGGAUCGCAUCUCUCUGCUAUCGCGAUUACCAAAAGCAAUCCCGUUCACCUCGCACCCCCCCGCAGCCGAAACGCAUACCCAUAGGGAUGUGCUACCCCAUGUCGCGACAACCCGCAGUGCUCUGAAGCAGCCUAUAUCGCACAGCCCCUCCGGAACCAGAGGCCGCUUACCCAAACCGGGCUCAGCGGGCUGCAGCCAUGGGCCAUCAGGCCUUUCCGGGGCAGGAGUUUCGUUUUUUAUGGUUUUUUAAAUACGGUUGUUUUUUUUUUUUUUCUUUUCCUAAAAGUGAAUUUCAACCUAAACUCACUCCCACCAUCACGUGGUGUCGAAAUUGGGAACAGGAGCGGAAUAAAAAGUAAACUGGGGUCAACCUCUUAAUGAACCUUUUCUCCUCUCGUACGGAAAAAUGGGGAAAAAAAAAAAAGAAAGAAAGAAAGAAAAGAAAAGAAAGAAGGAAAGAAACAGGAAAAAUAAAUAUAUAAAUAGAAAGAAAGACCGACCAGGGCCGGGCAGAGCGGGCCGUGCGGGCGGGGGAGCAGCGCGGAGCUGACGGCAGGUGAGAGCGGACCCCGACGUGAGCCCGGGGGGGUCGGGUGAGGGGUACCGAACCUCUGAGCCGGGCUCGUGGCUCUGCCCGAGGCUCUGCCCGGGGUCAGCGGCUGCGCGGUGAUACGAUUUCGGUGUCGGCUGUGUGCUGGUGCUCGGCUUUGUUUGGGUUUUGCCUCCCUCCACCCCUUCCUCCCGCAGCUGCAAUCACGGGCGUUUCCUCCUCUUUCCUACGUUCAGUGCAGUUUUUGUCUCUCAAGCAAAAACGGCUGGGGGGGGGGGGGGGCGAUCCCGAGUGGGGAGUAUUUGAUUAAAACAAAGCCGAAGUCCCCCCCUCCUCCCCUCCAGCCCCGGCACUCCCCGUUUGUAGAAGAGGGGCCGCUUCGGGCCUUUCUCGGGCCGGGACUGUCCGUGCCCGGAACGCCGUCCACCUGCGCACAGCGGUCAGCGCCCCGCGGCUCUCCGACCGCAACGUCGGGGCCGGGGCCGUCCGGGCUGGGAGAGGCCGCGGCCGCUCCCGCCACCUCAGCGUCCCCGUAUCCGCGGUGCUUCCAAGAGGCUCCGGCAAUCCACGGCGAGGCUCCAAUCCACCCCGACUGUCAUCACCCGGCAGAUAAACGGCCGGAUCCCCGACGGCAGGGUGGCUCCUAUUCGUGGCUCAUCAUCGCCGAGUCCAGGGAGCAGGCAAAGGGGGGAGGAUAAGCCCUGCUUCCAGAGACCGGCUCUCCACACCACUCAUCACUGUCACCGAGCUCAUGCCUUGGCCCCGAACACCGUCGAUUAAUAAAAGCUCACUGUCGCUUUUCUCUAAUAAUUACAGUCGCGGGUCGGGGGAAAGAAAAAUAAAAAAUGAAGAAGAAGAAAAACAAAACAAAGCAAAACAAAACCCGAAAAGGCUGCGGCUGCGCGCUACCUGCGGGGAUGCCCUGCCGCGCAGCCCUUGCCGGUGCGGCUCUCCUUUAUUGUUUCUUUUCACCCCAAAUGCGAUGAACCUCGCGGAGCUGCCAGCCCCGACGGCCGCCCCGACGGGGGGUGGGGAGCCGCGGCCGUGCGCUUUGGCACGGAGCUGUCGGCUGCAGCGGGAGCGCAGCGGUUCGCACCGCCGCUGCGGGUUUGAAUGGCUGAGGGCUGAGAAAAGGUGGCAGGAUUUGGCCAGAGAAAACGCGGCGAGUACGGAGAGCAACCGCUGAGUUCUGUUCUCGGGAGGAAUCGCAGAGCACCAAAGCCGGGCUUCUCGACAGGGCCAGCGCCAAAUCUCUAAUAACGGUGCUCUGAUGCCACGGGCCGGGCACUGCGCUCCGGGCCGAGAGAGGGGAACCCGAAAUCGGAACGCCCAGAACCGACGGCAGAAAGCGGGGUAAGCUGCAGCCCUUCCACCUCCAGCAUCUGCCCGAGAGAGGUGCGAUGAGAGGGGACUGAGGGCUGCGCGGCUCUGAACGCGACGGUUUUGCACCGCAGAACCGUCCGAUGGAGUCUCUGCGUGCGCCCGCGGCUCCGGCGCUUUGUUACGGCCCAUCGAGUAAAUGUUUUAACGAAUGCUUAAUGGCACUGCGAAGCGCUGCGGUCCUCCGUCCUGCACCGAUGGCUGCGGGCAGUGGGGCAGCGAGAGAAGCAGCCACGUGUGGUUUGCUUUAAGUCUUUGGGGGAUAUUUGAUAGUUACGUUGCGCCGAACUCUCUCACCCCCUCGGAAUCUCGGUUCGUUGUGCGACCGCUGAGAUUAAACGGCGAACGAACACUCGUCUGCCCGGAAUAUUGGUGAGGGUUGAAUUAUUUCACAAACGAAAAGAAACAAUCGCAGAACCCUUUUAGUUUUUAAACCGAGCCCGGAUUUUGCCACGAUGCUCCGGAUUUACGCUUUCAGAUUUUUACUCUUCGAAGUGGCGUUCAGAAAAAUAACGCUCCCAAUCCGUUGUGCGUUUUCUUUUUCGUGUACGAAAAUAAAAGUCAUUGGUGUGAGCGGGGGGAUGGUGUAGGAAGGAGUGGUGCGGGGUUCGGUGCAUGGAGAGCAUCGCAGGGAGGCUGCAGGGAGGCUGUCCUGCUGGUUCCCAGCCCGAGCUCUGAUUUCACUGCCAAAUGUACCCCCAAAACGGUCCUUUCUGCUUUGCAAUCGCUUUUUUCCUUUUAUUAUAAAAUAGAAAACAAACAAACAAACCACCAAACAAUCUGUCAAGAUACCCCGUGCUGGAGCGUGGGAGUGGGCCGACAGGGCACAGCGCGAAGCUGGCUUUAGGAACUGAAAGCAGCACAGAGCCCCGAGCCCGGCACUGGAGGAAUUUGAGGCAGCACGGCUUUGUUCCGGCUCUGUGCGUUGCAGCACGGGGCUGAGUGGGCCUGGAGCUUUGGGACAGCCAUGUGAAGGCAUCGCUCACUGAGCAGGAGGAGGAGAGGGGACCCUCAUCCCAAAGCCCUGCACCAGAGCAGGGAACUGCCCUGUGGUGCUGUAGGAGCACUGUGGGCAUCGUCAUGCUGGGAUGGAGGGCACAGAACGAGUCCUGCCCGUAGAGAUUGUUGUAUUUUUGCUAUGGAGGGUAAUUUUUUGCUAUAGGCAAUAUCUGUCCUGCAGGGUGAGCAGAGAACGGACAGUGUGAGCCAUGCCCAGCACUGUGCACACCCUGGCACUGAGCAAGGAUGCAUGGUGAGCCCCAGCACUGCUCUGCAGCACUGCCUGAGGCCCUGGGGGUCAGUUGGCUGCAUUCAAAUGCUGUGCUCACCACAGCAUGGGCCGGGUCCCAACGCUCACAGGCAGAGCAGGGCAGUCCCUGGGCAGCACCACCACGCUCCAGGAGCAAUGUUCCCACUGUUUGCCUUCACAUCCCACUGCUCUUUAGGCAAAAGCAUCCUCAGCCAUCCUCACACCCACCACCUCCACACAAGGCCCUGCUCCUGGCCAGAGCUCCUUUCAGCCUUUUGCACCACAGUGCUGCCCAUGGGGGAAUCUCCUCUUCCACCUCCUCCUCCUCUCUGGAGUGGGGCCAGAUGCUGCCAGCAGCCCUGGGUGUGGGAGGGACAUCCCAACCAUAGGGCUCAGACUGAGCCAAACUGGGAGUAUGGAGAGGGGUCAGUGCUGCCCCUGUUCCCCCCUACAUCACCCCAGGGCAGAUCUAAACUAGCUGGAGCUCAGGGGUUGGGAAGGGAGGAGGGGAGGGGAAAGCAGUGCCCAGAGAUGGAGCAAGAGGCACCAGAGAGGAGGAUGGAUGCAAUGGAGGAAGGCAAGGUGAGAGAAGGAGGACUGGGGGGGAAGGCAGCAGGAUGGAGGCUGUGGGGAAAGAUUUUGGGGGCAGCAUUGGGUUUCUGCCCCAUAGCAUUGGGAUGGGAUUUCCUCCUGGGCUUCUUGCACCGGGUUCAAUCCCAGUCCCCACGUGGCUGUGGCCCUGCACUGUGCCCCUCAGCUGCAGCAGCACCAGAUCAGUUCUCGUCUCCACAUUGGGCACUUUGCUCCUCACCCCUGGGAGAGGGCAAUGUCUUGGCAUGCUUCUGAUACACUGGAAGCAGGGAGAGCUGUAAAAGACAUCGUCCCAUUCCUGGGGGGAGGCUCAGUAAGGAAAGGAAAUGAGAACAAACCAGGGCCAGGCCUGGAAAUAGGGGGUUUGCUGCUGGUGGGAUGGGGUUUGCUAUGAGACCCCAAAGUUGCUGUUUGGAAUGGGGGGAGCAGGAGCUGGGGAUCUGCCCUGCCUGCUGUGCUGCUGGCUUCUGCAAGGAGGAAGGAUGGCUGGGAGUCAUUAAGCAGAGACUGAAGGCAUUGCUUACGGAGAUGUCUGGGAAAGGGCCAUUUCAGGCCCUGCUGUGUGCAGGGUCUGGGGUCAGGAGGGGCAAUGGCUCAAUGCCUCAAUGCUGCUCUGGGGCACAGGGAGCCCACAGCAAUUCCCUGUCUGUGGUGGGAGACCCAGCUGGCUCCUGCAAAACAGGGGACAAAGGAUCACCAAAAAUGCAGCCUUACCUCUGUAUCUGUAGCUCUGAGUACCGACGUGGCUGAGGCAGCCCGGCCAGAUGAGGAUGCUGUGUGCCUUCAUCAGUGGGUGUGCUCCGUGUUGUGCAGUGGGAACACCGAGAUGGAUGGGGAAGGGGCUUCUUAGACACACUGCGCCUGAAAUAAAUGGAUAGGGUGGAAUUUUUACAGCCCAUAGGGGUGGCAGGAGGUGCUGUUCACACCCACUGUGCCCCCAGCGCUCAGUGCAGUGGGAAAUCAGCAGCUGGGUGUCCCUUCCCCAUUCCCCUGCUUUGCCAUUCUGCACUGAAGCUUCAGCUGCAAGAAUCCUCACUGAGAGACAUCGGUGAGUGUUUCACACAUGAGCACCCUUCCCUAGCCACAGGGUUAUGGUAAAGGUUGGGAAAAGAAGGAAGUGCUGUGCUGGCAUGUUGGCAGUGAAUCAAAGAAAAUGACAUUAAUUAAAGCAUAUGUUAAGAAUAGGAAAUUAAGCUAAAGUAACAUUUCAUCCACAGCAUCUUCUCCGGGCACUUUAGAAAGGGGAUAAGUUUACGGUAGGGAAAGAGAAAUGAGGAGGCUGGUGCAGGGGAUGGAUGUGUGGGGAGUGAGAAGAAUUAGAGCAGAGCUUUAAAAGCCUUAAGCUAUACACUGAAGGUCACGUGUGCUCCCUGGGUUUGUUUGGAGCUGUGAGUGAAAGGGAGGGCUGUGGGUGCAGGCUGGCACAGACAGUACCCCCAGCCCCGAAAUCUUAGUGCAGCCCUCAGCAGGCUCAGGUGGAUGUCAGCACCCCACUGUGCAGAUUUACUCUUUCUCUUUUGCUUUUCUCAAUCAGAACUUACCGAAACUCAGCACGCAGCCCAUGGCAGCCAGCAGCAGUGGGGAAACUGAGGCACAGCGUGGCUGACAGCUCCGUGACCGGUGCUGAGCACUCAGCAGGGAUGGGUGCACCACCGGGGCUGACCUGCAAUCAAUCACAGUUCAUGUCCCUUCAGCAUCGCAGGGCUGGGUUAUUUCUGGCUCCUCGUGGCCUCAGAGCCCUCUCGGUGCUGGGACGUGCACAUGGCUGAAGUCAAAGGGCAACAUGGGCCUACAUGGCCUGGGAGUGGGACUCACAGCCCAAGGCCGUCGGGAUGUGCAGCGGGAUGGGAUCAGGGCUGACUUUCUGUUCUGGAACCCCCAGCCAUGCAUCCACCUUGCGAUGGGCAGUGUGAGUGCUGAGCUCCGGAUGGAAGAAGACAGCAGCAGCUGCCUGGACUGCACUCACAGAGCGGCUGCAUUUCUUCCCCCUGAGCCGUAAAUCGCGGGCUGGGGCCGGCGGCAUCCCUCUCGUGGUCGCCCCGGGAUGAGUUACGAGGAGAGAGCUCCGCAGCCAGGGCUUUGCUCCAGGGCCCUCCCAAGAGCCAUUCUCCUCCUUUUUCCACCCCAAACCACACUGCUGCCCCACUGGGGUCUCUCCAGCCCCACUGCAGGACCCCACGCUCCCGGCGCUCCUCCGCUCCCCGUCCUCCCGCGGCCGCGGCGAGCGGGCAGAUGUCUUGCUGACAGCUUCAGGAACACCUUGUAGCAGUUGCGGUGAUUCCUGAGAUCCAUUGCUUCCCAUUUCAAUUCACACAUCAUGAUUUCUAAACCUCAGCCCGCACCUUCCCUUCACAGCUCCCUACCUCCAGCCCGCCAGCACUGGGAGCGAUGGUGAUGGGGACACAGGGAAGGGGACCCGGUUCAUCCUUGCCUGACCACCACCUCCCGCCAUGCCAUGCCUUAGGGAGAGCCCCACACCCCGCCAAAAAAAUAGGCACAAUCAGCAAAAUGCGGGCUGGGAGGCACCUGGAGGGCAGUGAGGGGACGGUGCUCCUUUCUGGGGACCCAGGGCUGAGCCGCUGUGUUCCCCUAUGCUGUGUGGCUGUGGUAGAGGCUUGGCCUCGGGGUGAUAAAAGCGGCGUGUUUUUCCAAUUAGAAGAGCCAAAUGUCUUUUCCUGCCAGCAUUCAGCCCAGCCUAACAUGCGAUGUCUACAUCUUAACCUUGAAGAAGCCUCCAGAGACGCUGCUAAAUAAAUCAACGCGGCUCCACGUGCUGGAAAACAGAACCAAUAAAUAACUUCAGAACAGCUUUUCUGUUUACUGUAUGAAAUCCCCGCUCUUGGCCACCCUGUUCCAAAACAGCUCGGCAAAAUAAAGGCAAAAAGAAACACCAGCAGCACUGUAGGGCAGCAGCCACCAGCACAGGGCUGGCUGCAGGUGUGGGGCCCACUCCCCACUGACCUCUGGGAUUUGGGGCAGAGUGUGUCUGUGCAGUGUUUCAAAAGCAUUAAUGGAGGUAAUAACAAGAAUAAAAAACGCACCCUGCAAAACAGCCUCCUAGUGCUGUUCUCCUGUGGCAAGGAGGAUGCUGGAGUGAAACCCGCAGGGGAUGCUCACAAAGUCCUGUUUGGUCCCCAGGAGCCAUGGGAUGCAUUGGGGUGCUCAGCAGCAUCGCUGGCCCCGGUUGUGCCCCCACACGUGCCAGAUGCUGAAGGACAACCCCAGGCUGUUCAGAGCAGCAGCAGUUCCUCCUCUUUUACACCAAUAAUAAAUAUGCCUUUACCUUUAGCAUAAAAGAAGUUUGCAGCAGCUGCUAAAAGGGGACAUAUAAAGGCAUCUUCCUGCUUCCUGGGGCAGAGAGGUCUCAUGGAGGUGUUCAGUGUGGAUGGAUGCCUGGGGAGUCCUUCUGACAUCUCAGCAGAGGGAACAGCAGAACAGAGCCUGUUGGAGAGGAGCAUUAGCAGAAUUCAGCCAUGUAAGACAAAUCACUGCAACCCAAUGCAACAGGCAGGUCCAGCUCCCUUCGUACUGGAAGCCCCUGACCCAAAGCAAUCUGCUGUGUGGGGGCUGAGCUCCACAGCCCCCCUGGGCCAUGCACCGGUUGAAACCCCGUCCCCAGACCACGGUCACGGGGAGCUCAUCCUCUACAGUAGCCCAUCCCAGGGCCAUUGAAUGGGGAUUGAUUAUUUGUUGAUUUAUUUUACAUGGGAUCACCUUCCCUGGGCACCAGGAGAGCAGAAGCAUCCCAGAGCAAGGAGGGCAUGAUGGGUCAGGGUCACAAUCCUGCAACACACAGGUGAUGUACCCACAGCAUCGGAUGGGCACCACAGCUCCCACACGCUCAUCACUGCCCCAGUCACUGUCACCACUGUGUCCCCAUUGUGGCACAGGGACAAGGGCAGCCCCACAGUGCCAUGGGCUUUGUCACACACAGCAAAUAGCAAUGGGACAGGUUUAGCAACUGUGGGGCCUUCUGUUCUUCCUUACAUCUCGGAGCCAUUUCCUUAAAUGCUUUACAUUAUUUAUUAUGUUUCAUUUAACCCCAGCCACGUCCUCCAAAUAAAAUUUAUUUUGCAGCUGUCAUUCAGGUUUACUCCAGCCUUAACCUCAUAAUCCUAUUGAUUCCCUCAUUAUUCUCCGGGCGCGGGAUUGAUUUCAUGCCUUCUGUGUUAUGGAGAAGACUUUGCUCAUUAAUCUCACGCGCGUUUACGAAUGGCCAGUCCCAGUAAUUCAUUAUUUUCUCCUUCCCCACACAAACUCUGUUACCUUGUCCACUUCACAUCUUGAUUUUGGGGCAUGGACAGCAGUGAUUUCUCUCCUGUCUGGCUCCUUUCCGGAGGGAGCGGCGAUGGGCAGCCACCCUUGUGUCCUACAUCGCCAUUGGGUUUGGCCACAGGGACUGUACCCAGAUGGCAAUUGCAUACCUCCAACCCAACAUGUUGUUGGCACAGCAGUCCAUUGGUGUGGUGUUCCAUACAGCCCCAUCGGUACUGGAUGUGGAGGAAGACAUGACCCCUGUCGUGGAGGCUUAGAGUAAAAAAUAGGCAGACACCGUGGGGCAGACACGUCAUAAAUCCAAGCGGAGGGGCCAAUCUCAAAUAUUUCAGCUCUUUCCCUCCUCCCCCCUAUAAUAUAUAAUUGUCUUUGUUGGAUCAAUACAGAGGGGCUUUGUGGAAGGAGGGCGCUUUAAGGGAAGAUUAAUGUCGUGCAUUAUGUAUGCAGCUAGGAGGAAUUCCAAUAUCCAGCUUCCAGGAGGAAAGGAAAGGCCAGAGAGAUGGGAUCCUCCUUCCAGGAUGGGAGCACGGCACAGCCCACGCCAGAGUUAGGGGUGGGAGAUUCUUGUAGGUUUGGACCCCUCACACCUACCUGUGCAAGGCAGCAUCCCACCCUCAAGGUGCAGAACGAACAUCAUUUAUCCACAGCAGUCCAUCAGCAUUGUCCUGGGUACACACACACAUAAGCAUCAUCAGCAAAUGAACACCUGGUCUGAAGGCAACAGCCCUGGGCUGAGCCCUCCGCUCAACAGCAGCGCCAAUGGUGGCUUCCUUGAGUUGAGCAUCCCGCAACCCACAGCCAUCAUAUGGAAUACAUUUAACCAAACCGAGUUUUGAUUAAACACCAUAAAUAUGAUUGAUUUGGUUACAUACCCUCCACAUGACAGUCCGUUUAAUUUAUUUUUUCAUUCUGAGUAGGGAUGUUGCAUUGAUCCGAAACAUUGGCUUUGACUACCACCGUAAAUUCCCAUUCUUGGAGACCCGCUGCGGCAUUAUUAAUACUUUUACACUUACCAGCAGUGGUUGGAGGUCAAC
ensembl:lncRNA